GACGAACGCUGGCGGCGUGCCUAAUACAUGCAAGUCGAGCGCAGGAAGCUGACGGAACUCUUCGGAGGGAAGGCAGUGGAAUGAGCGGCGGACGGGUGAGUAACACGUAAGGAACCUGCCUCAAGGAUUGGGAUAACUCCGAGAAAUCGGAGCUAAUACCGGAUAGUUCAACGGACCGCAUGGUCCGCUGAUGAAAGGCGCUCCGGCGUCACCUUGAGAUGGCCUUGCGGUGCAUUAGCUAGUUGGGGGGGUAACGGCCCACCAAGGCGACGAUGCAUAGCCGACCUGGGAGGGUGAUCGGCCACACUGGGACUGAGACACGGCCCAGACUCCUACGGGAGGCAGCAGUAUGGAAUCUUCCACAAUGGACGAAAGUCUGAUGGAGCAACGCCGCGUGAGUGAUGAAGGUUUUCGGAUCGUAAAACUCUGUUGUAAGGGAAGAACACGUACGAGAGGAAAUGCUCGUACCUUGACGGUACCUUACGAGAAAGCCACGGCUAACUACGUGCCAGCCGCCGCAGUAACAC
rnacentral:rRNA from 1 species